rnacentral:rRNA from 1 species
GGAAUCUUGCGCAAUGGGCGAAAGCCUGACGCAGCGACGCCGCGUGAGGGAUGAAGCUUUUCGGAGUGUAAACCUCUUUCGACCCGGACGAAUGCCCGCAAGGGUUUGACGGUACGGGGAGAAGAAGCCCCGGCUAACUACGUGCCAGCAGCCGCGGUAAAACGUAGGGGGCCAGCGUUGCUCGGAAUUACUGGGCGUAAAGGGUCUGUAGGCGGUGCGGUAAGGCCGGAGUGAAAUCUCCAGGCUCAACUUGGAGGCUGCUUCGGAAACUGCCGUGCUCGAGUGUGGGAGAGGCGCGUGGAAUUGCAGGUGUAGCGGUGAAAUGCGUAGAUAUCUGCAGGAACACCAGUGGCGAAAGCGGCGCGCUGGACCACAACUGACGCUCAUGUGCGACAGCGUGGGGAGCA